GGUUCAUUCAAAUUUCUGCCCUAUCAACUUUCGACGGCUGGGUCUUGGCAGCCAUGGUGACAACGGGUAACGGAGGGUUAGGGCUCGACCCCGGAGAAGGAGCCUGAGAAACGGCUACUACAUCCAAGGAAGGCAGCAGGCGCGCAAAUUACCCAAUCCCGACGGGGAGNGUAGUGACAAUAAAUACUGAUACAGGGCUCUUUUGGGUCUUGUAAUUGGAAUGAGUACAAUUUAAAUCCCUUAACGAGGAACAAUUGGAGGGCAAGUCUGGUGCAGCAAGCCGGGUAAUUCCAGCUCCAAUAGCGUAUAUUAAAGUUGUUGAGGUUAAAAAGCUCGUAGUUG
rnacentral:rRNA from 1 species